UCCGUAGGUGAACCUGCGGAAGGAUCAUUAAAGAAUUUAAAGAGUGCACUUCAUUGUGGCUCGAAAUUUUUUACCAUUCACCCUAGUGCACUGUAAUACCUUUUUUAUUAGACUCUACAAAGUUAAUGAAUGUAACACUUUUUUAUAAAGAAAUAAAACUUUUAACAACGGAUCUCUUGGCUCUCGCAACGAUGAAGAACGCAGCGAAAUGCGAUAAGUAAUGUGAAUUGCAGAAUUCAGUGAAUCAUCGAAUCUUUGAACGCACCUUGCGCCCUUUGGUAUUCCGAAGGGCACACCUGUUUGAGUGUCAUUAAUUCCUCAACCCUAUCAUUUUUUAAUUAAAUUGUUAGUGGUUGGAUGUUGAGCGUUGCUGGAAUUUUCAGUUCAGCUCGCUUUAAAUUUAUGAGCAGGCUCCUGUCUUUUUGGACUGACUCAACGUGAUAAGAAAUUUCGUUGAGGACGCUUUACAGUGGCCAAAUUGUAGGGAAAUGCCGCUACUAGUUCACCCUUAUAUUUUAGACCUCAAAUCAGGUGGGACUACCCGCUGAACUUAAGCAUAUCAAUAAGCGGAGGAAAAGAAACUAACUAGGAUUCCCUUAGUAACGGCGAGUGAAGAGGGACUAGCCCAAAUUUGUAAUCUGGCUCUUUCAGAGUCCGAGUUGUAAUCUCGAGAACAGUUUUCCGUGUUGGACCUUGUAUAAGUCUGUUGGAAUAUAGCUUCGUAGAGGGUGAGAAUCCCGUACAUAACAAGGACUACCAAUGCUUUGUGAUACUGUCUCUAAGAGUCGAGUUGUUUGGGAAUGCAGCUCAAAUUGGGUGGUAAAUUCCAUCUAAGGCUAAAUAUUGGCGAGAGACCGAUAGCGAACAAGUACCGUGAGGGAAAGAUGAGAAGCACUUUGGAAAGAGAGUUAACAGUACGUGAAAUUGUUAAAAGGGAAACGCUUGAAGU
rnacentral:sRNA from 1 species